GAGUUUGAUCCUGGCUCAGAUUGAACGCUGGCGGCAGGCCUAACACAUGCAAGUCGAGCGGAAACGAGUUAACUGAACCUUCGGGGAACGUUAACGGCGUCGAGCGGCGGACGGGUGAGUAAUGCCUGGGAAAUUGCCCUGAUGUGGGGGAUAACCAUUGGAAACGAUGGCUAAUACCGCAUAAUAGCUUCGGCUCAAAGAGGGGGACCUUCGGGCCUCUCGCGUCAGGAUAUGCCCAGGUGGGAUUAGCUAGUUGGUGAGGUAAUGGCCCACCAAGGCGACGAUCCCUAGCUGGUCUGAGAGGAUGAUCAGCCACACUGGAACUGAGACACGGUCCAGACUCCUACGGGAGGCAGCAGUGGGGAAUAUUGCACAAUGGGCGCAAGCCUGAUGCAGCCAUGCCGCGUGUAUGAAGAAGGCCUUCGGGUUGUAAAGUACUUUCAGCAGUGAGGAAGGUGGGUAUGUUAAUAGCAUACUCAUUUGACGUUAGCUGCAGAAGAAGCACCGGCUAACUCCGUGCCAGCAGCCGCGGUAAUACGGAGGGUGCGAGCGUUAAUCGGAAUUACUGGGCGUAAAGCGCAUGCAGGUGGUUUGUUAAGUCAGAUGUGAAAGCCCGGGGCUCAACCUCGGAAUUGCAUUUGAAACUGGCGAACUAGAGUACUGUAGAGGGGGGUAGAAUUUCAGGUGUAGCGGUGAAAUGCGUAGAGAUCUGAAGGAAUACCGGUGGCGAAGGCGGCCCCCUGGACAGAUACUGACACUCAGAUGCGAAAGCGUGGGG
rnacentral:rRNA from 1 species